UGGGAACGAGAAGUCACUCGUGGAGGCGUC
rnacentral:piRNA from 1 species